CCUACGGGGCGCAGCAGUGGGGAAUAUUGGACAAUGGGCGAAAGCCUGAUCCAGCCAUGCCGCGUGUGUGAAGAAGGCCUUCGGGUUGUAAAGCACUUUCAGUGGGGAAGAAAGCCUUGGGGCUAAUACCCUCGAGGAAGGACAUCACCCACAGAAGAAGCACCGGCUAACUCCGUGCCAGCAGCCGCGGUAAUACGGAGGGUGCGAGCGUUAAUCGGAAUUACUGGGCGUAAAGCGCGCGUAGGCGGUCUGAUAAGCCGGUUGUGAAAGCCCCGGGCUCAACCUGGGAACGGCAUCCGGAACUGUCAGGCUAGAGUGCAGGAGAGGAAGGUAGAAUUCCCGGUGUAGCGGUGAAAUGCGUAGAGAUCGGGAGGAAUACCAGUAGCGAAGGCGGCCUUCUGGACUGACACUGACGCUGAGGUGCGAAAGCGUGGGUAGCAAACAGGAUUAGAUACCCCAGUAGUC
rnacentral:rRNA from 1 species